rnacentral:rRNA from 1 species
AUCCUGCGGGCUUUGCUUGCGGGUGAGAGUGGCGAACGGGUGAGUAAUGCGUGACCAACCUGCCCCAUGCUCCGGAAUAGCUCCUGGAAACGGGUGGUAAUGCCGGAUGCUCCCGCGCCCCGCAUGGGGUGUGGGGAAAGCUUUCGUGGCAUGGGAUGGGGUCGCGUCCUAUCAGCUUGUUGGCGGGGUGAGGGCCCACCAAGGCGUUGACGGGUAGCCGGCCUGAGAGGGCGACCGGCCACAUUGGGACUGAGAUACGGCCCAGACUCCUACGGGAGGCAGCAGUGGGGAAUAUUGCACAAUGGGCGCAAGCCUGAUGCAGCGACGCCGCGUGCGGGAUGGAGGCCUUCGGGUUGUAAACCGCUUUUGUUUGGGAGCAAGCCCUUCGGGGUGAGUGUACCUUUCGAAUAAGCACCGGCUAACUACGUGCCAGCAGCCGCGGUAAUACGUAGGGUGCGAGCGUUAUCCGGAAUUAUUGGGCGUAAAGGGCUCGUAGGCGGUUCGUCGCGUCCGGUGUGAAAGUCCAUCGCUUAACGGUGGAUCCGCGUCGGGUACGGGCGGGCUGGAGUGCGGUAGGGGAGACUGGAAUUCCCGGUGUAACGGUGGAAUGUGUA